rnacentral:rRNA from 1 species
CGUGUAGGCGGACAGGUAAGUCAGACGUGAAAUCCCCGGGCUCAACCUGGGAAUUGCAUUUGAAACUGCCUGUCUAGAGUGGUGGAGAGGGAAGCGGAAUUCCUGGUGUAGAGGUGAAAUUCGUAGAUAUCAGGAGGAACACCGGUGGCGAAGGCGGCUUCCUGGACACUUACUGACGCUGAGACGCGAAAGCGUGGGGAGCAAACA